AUGCCCAAGAACCUGGACUCCCUAGGGGACAGCCUUCCAGACCUCAGGAAUGUUUGCAUUCUCAACACGUUUGAAGCUUUUGAGGUAAAUGAGCUAAAAGAGAAGGGCAACAAGGCCCUGAGUGCUGGUAACAUUGAUGACACCUUACAAUGUUACUCUGAAGCCAUUAAGUUGGAUCCCCAGAACCAUGUGCUCUACAGCAAUCAUUCUGCAGCCUAUGCCAAGAAAGGAGACUACCAGAAGACUUACGAGGAUGGCUGCAAGACCAUUGACUUAAAACCUGACUGGGGUAAGGGUUAUUCUUGAAAAGCAGCAGCUCUUGAACUCUUAAACCUAUUUGAAGAAGCCAAACGAACCUAUGAGGAGGGCUUAAAACAUGAAGCCAAUAACCCUCAGCUCAAAGAACGUUUACAGAACAUGGAGGCCAGGUUUAGCAGAGAGGAAAUUCAUGAACCCUUUCAACAUGCCCAAUCUGUAUCAGAAGUUGGAGAAUGAUCCUAGGAUGAGAAUGCUGCUUAGUGAUCCUUAAUAGAGCAGCUACGAAACAAGCUGUCCAAUCUGGGCAAGAAUCUACAAGAUCCCAGCAUCACGACUACUCUCAGUGUUCUCCUCGGAGUUGAUCUGGGCAGCAAGGAUAAGGAGGAAGAGGUUGCAACCCCACAGCCACAUCCCCCUCCCAAAAAGGAGACCAAGCCAGAGCCAAUGGAAGAAGAUCUUCCAGAGAGUAAGAAGCAGGCACUGAAGGAAAAAGAGUUGGGGAAUGAUGCCUACCGGAAGAAAGACUUUGACACAGCCUUGAAGCAUUAUGACAGAGCUAAGGAACUGGACCCCACCAACAUGACCUACAUUACUAACCAAGCAGCAGUGUACUUUGAAAAGGGUGACUACAAUAAAUGCCGGGAGUUUUGUGAGAAGGCCAUUGAAGUGGGGAGAGAAAACCGAGAAGACUACCAACAGAUUGCCAAAGCUUAUGCCUGAAUUGGCAACUCCUACUUCAAAGAAGAAAAGUACAAGGACGCCAUCCACUUCUAUAACAAGUCUCUUGCAGAGCACUGAACCCCAGAUGUGCUCAAAAAAUGCCAGCAGGCAGAGAAAAUCCUGAAAGAGCAAGAGAGGCUGGCCUACAUAAACCCUGACUUGGCCUUGGAGAAGAACAAAGGCAAUGAAUGUUUUCAGAAAGGGGACUAUCCCCAGACCAUGAAGCAUUAUACAGAAGCCAUUAAAAGGAACCCACAAGAUGCCAAAUUGUACAGCAAUCGAGCUGCCUGCUACACCAAACUCCUGGAGUUUCAGCUGGCACUCAAGGAUUGUGAGGAAUGUAUCCAGCUAGAACCAACCUUUAUUAAAGGUUAUACAUGGAAAUCAGCUGCCCUAGAAGCAAUGAAGGACUACACAAAAGCCAUGGAUGUGUACCAGAAGGCAUUAGACCUGGACUCCAACUGCAAGGAGGCAGCAGACGGUUACCAAUGCUGUAUGAUGGCCCAGUACAACCAGCAUGAUAGCUCCAAAGAUGUGAAGUGGCAGGCUAUGGCUGACCCUGAGGUGCAGCAGAUAAUGAGUGACCUGGCCAUCAGGCUCAUCCUGGAACAGAUGCAGAAGGACCCCCAGGCACUCAGUGAACACUUAAAGAAUCCUGUAUUAGCACAGAAGAUUCAGAAGCUGAUGGAUGUGGGUCUCAUUGCAAUUCGGUGAUGACUUGGUCACCCCCCUUCCCUUCAUUCUGAUGUGGAAAGAGAAGCUGGG